UUUUUAACCAAAGCUUUGAGGAAGGGGUUAGUCUGCCCUUUCCUCCAGGUGCCACAGGUGUAGGGUUAAUUAGCAAUCAGUCUCAGGUGCUACAGGACAGGUGAGUGAUCACUUGCGGCUGCUCGUGGUUCAGUGAGAAGCUUGUGGCCCAGUUAUACGGCCUGUUCCUGGGUACAGAAUACUGUAUAGAUGCCCUGCAGCGGGCGUGUUUUAUAAGUGCUGCUCUCCCCACUCAUGAAACGUCACCUCCGAGGAAGCUGCAAUGGGACUCAAUUCCUGCAGGUGGAAAAGUUUCUGCACCUGUCUUUUCUCAUUGCCCCCCGGGCCUCUCCAGUAAGUCGAGUGUCAGGGAUACAUUCCCCUCGCUGCUUCGAUUAUUGACAGUGCGAAUGAUGGAAAGAUCAUCUGGUCUGAGAAGGAUGAGAAGCAGAUACAGAAUUCCCUCUGUUGUUGCUGUGAAGCAUGAACCUACCAACUGUCAGCAUCUUCCAUUACUCAACAUAGAUAUGAUGAAGAACCAGACAAAGUGUGGUGGCCCAACCAACAUUGCCAGACUGCAUAUUCCUGAGGUAGGGCCUUUUAUAUGUUCUACAGUGUCGAUUUUAAGAGUUGGGUUGGGUAACCUUUGUUGGUGAUUUGAUCCUCUAAAGAAGAUAUUUUGAACAUGCACAGGGCUUCCUGAAUGGUGGAACGGGACUGGUUUAAGUGACAUCAAAUGCACAUUUCUGAGAACUUUGCACUGGUUCUGUUCACCUCUAAUGUCCACUCAUAGUAAACUAAUGAGCAGAGAAUAUAGAGAGAGUGGAACUGAUGAACAGUAUGUCCAAGGCUGAAAUUUAUGAGACCUUUAUUUGAGGUCAAAAGUGUUUUUGUAUUUUUGUUAUCCACUUGAAAUGAAUCAUAUCGA